rnacentral:rRNA from 1 species
GACGAACCACACGAACGUUAUUCGGAAUUACUGGGCUUAAAGGGUGCGUAGGCGGCUUAUCAAGUGUUUUGUGAAAUCCCACAGCUCAACUGUGGAACAGCAGGGCAAACUGAUAAGCUUGAGGCAGGUAGGGGCCGGAAGAACAGUUGGUGGAGCGGUGAAAUGCGUAGAUAUCAACUGGAAUGCCGAUGGGGAAGCCGUCCGGCUGGGCCUGUCCUGACGCUGAGGCACGAAAGCGUGGGGAGCAAACAGG